UGUCCACGCGGGCGCCGGGGGCCCUGGAAGCCCGGGGAGCGCAGUCCGUGGAGCGGGGAGAUGGCACCAAAGGGUGUGUCGGCUCAGUAGGUACUUCAAAAGCGAGCUACUCAUGUUGUGGAGGACAUCCGGACCCCCUUCAGAGGACAGCUUGUAGGGUGAACACGUGACGAUCAGUUACCAAUUAGUGACGAGCAGUUGACCAAGCAGACAACCAAGUGGACCACGUGUGAUCAGGACAAGCCCCCGCAGACUCGGAGAAAACCCUUCUCUGGGGAUGUGAGGCGAGAGCCUGACGGAUCCAGAGCCGGCUGCACCUCUGGGGCUGAAGGAAGUCUGGGCGGCUGCCAAGCCGAUUCACCCAGCAGCUGGAGAAAACACCUGCCUGCAGCUCAGACGGAGCCUCCCUCCGCAUCACCUGAGCUGUCCCUUGUUCCCCUGCCAGGUCUUCCGUGGCUCCCCUAGUGACUGCUCUUGUUAGGAGUUACCCAUUGCUCUUGCCGUCUAGAGCGGGAACAUGAGAUGAAAGAAAACCCUGGGUCCUGCUGAGACCUGAGUCCACCCUCUUCCCCUCAGACCUGAGCUCCUGUCUCCAACCCUGGUCAGCAACAGCUGCCAUCACAAAAUCAGCUUUCUAAUCUUUCCUCAUGGUCUCCAGGCCUCAAGUAAGAUGCUUGCCUGGACUGAAGCCCAUUUCCACCUGAGGGCACGAGUGUCUACCUCUUUGCUUAAGAAGGGGUAAACAGGUGUCACCGCUGCUUCAGUGGAAAGGUGGAGUAACGAUGCUCUAGUGACCCGAAGCUAUUUUUCAGAACCAUGGACAGCGCCAGAGGGCCCCUCCCGCCCCAACAGUGUCUUCACAAACAAGCGCUUGCUUUCUGAUUGAACUUGCUCUGUCUCAAAUGCCCUGAGCCUUCCAAGCAGCCAAGGUCAAGACAAUGUCAAUGCACAUAACCUCUCAUCACUCAGAUCCUGACAACUUCAGUGCAUGCUGCUGUGGUCACGAGAGUGGGGAGCAGCAGAUCGCGCAGGAAAAGAUCAAAAUGCAAAGCACAGUUUCUACUGUAGGUGCCUCGCUGUCGAGCCCAGAGCAAAGUGGGAAAUGGAAGUGGAACCACGGCAAGCAGGACGGCCUGCAUCUCCUCCCCUCUCCCUGCCGCGUGGGUGGUAGAUCCGCCCCCAUCCUGUUAGCUUGGACUUGGGCGUGGGACAGACUUCAGCUAAUGGGGUUCUUGGGAUCUUCCUGGGGAAAAGGCAGGGGUGUGCUCUGUGUGUGUGUGGGGGGACUGGUCCCCCUGCCCCCGCCUUAGCGGAAGAACAGUGCCAGAAGACGAGACCUGGAGCCAGCUGAGACCCAAGCUGUCCCUGGAGGCCAGUUCCGACCUGUCCCACUUGACACACAAAAGCACAAGCAAGGUGACUUGACCUGCCCACAGGUAAAUAAGUCGGGGCAUAGCCAUACAAGAGCAUCCAACUCGGCACUAAAAAGGGAGAAACUACAGCAAACACACCAUGUGGAUGGAUCUUAAAAUAAUUAGGCUCAAUGGACAGAAACCAAGCAAAAAGUUCCAUCAGGUGUACAUUGGCACAAAGUAGAUCGGGAGUUGCCUAGGACGUGGGAGAGGUGAGGGCAGCCAGGGAGAGGGAGUCCCAAGGGACUUCUUGAAAGGUUGGGCGCGGUAAAGGGAAGGCGAGCCAGGCUAAGCUUUCUCAAAGGAAGGGAAAAUUUAUUGCGCCCCGGGUGGACUUCACAGACCCAAGGUGGGGAUCCGUGAAGCCGCGCACAUUGUCGGGGGGAGGCAGGCUUUUAUAGGGUGA